rnacentral:rRNA from 1 species
UACGUAGGGAGCAAGCGUUGUCCGGAAUCAUUGGGCGUAAAGCGCGCGUAGGCGGCCCGAUAAGUCCGUUGUGAAAGUCAAAGGCUCAACCUUUGAAUGCCGAUGGAUACUGUCGGGCUAGAGUCCGGAAGGGGCUACUGGAAUUCCCAGUGUAGCGGUGAAAUGCGUAGAUAUUGGGAAGAACACCAGCGGCGAAAGCGCGCUACUGGGCCAUUACUGACACUCAUGGACGAAAGCUAGGGGAGCGAAAGGG